rnacentral:rRNA from 1 species
GAUGUAGGGCGCGAGCGUUGUCCGGAUUUAUUGGGCGUAAAGAGCUCGUAGGCGGCUUGUCGCGUCGGCUGUGAAAACCCGUGGCUCAACUGUGGGCGGGCAGCUGAUACGGGCAGGCUGGAGUUCGGUAGGGGAGACUGGAAUUCCUGGUGUAGCGGUGAAAUGCGUAGAUAUCUGGAGGAAUACCGGUGGCGAAGGCGGCAUCCUGGACCAUUACUGACGCUGAGGCGCGAAAGCUAGGGGAGCAAACGGG